rnacentral:rRNA from 1 species
GGGUUGUGAGGUUAAGCGACUAAGCGUACACGGUGGAUGCCCUGGCAGUCAGAGGCGAUGAAGGACGUGCUAAUCUGCGAUAAGCGUCGGUAAGGUGAUAUGAACCGUUAUAACCGGCGAUUUCCGAAUGGGGAAACCCAGUGUGUUUCGACACACUAUCAUUAACUGAAUCCAUAGGUUAAUGAGGCGAACCGGGGGAACUGAAACAUCUAAGUACCCCGAGGAAAAGAAAUCAACCGAGAUUCCCCCAGUAGCGGCGAGCGAACGGGGAGCAGCCCAGAGCCUGAAUCAGUGUGUGUGUUAGUGGAAGCGUCUGGAAAGGCGCGCGAUACAGGGUGACAGCCCCGUACACAAAAAUGCACAUGCUGUGAGCUCGAUGAGUAGGGCGGGACACGUGGUAUCCUGUCUGAAUAUGGGGGGACCAUCCUCCAAGGCUAAAUACUCCUGACUGACCGAUAGUGAACCAGUACCGUGAGGGAAAGGCGAAAAGAACCCCGGCGAGGGGAGUGAAAAAGAACCUGAAACCGUGUACGUACAAGCAGUGGGAGCACGCUUAGGCGUGUGACUGCGUACCUUUUGUAUAAUGGGUCAGCGACUUAUAUUCUGUAGCAAGGUUAACCGAAUAGGGGAGCCGAAGGGAAACCGAGUCUUAACUGGGCGUUAAGUUGCAGGGUAUAGACCCGAAACCCGGUGAUCUAGCCAUGGGCAGGUUGAAGGUUGGGUAACACUAACUGGAGGACCGAACCGACUAAUGUUGAAAAAUUAGCGGAUGACUUGUGGCUGGGGGUGAAAGGCCAAUCAAACCGGGAGAUAGCUGGUUCUCCCCGAAAGCUAUUUAGGUAGCGCCUCGUGAAUUCAUCUCCGGGGGUAGAGCACUGUUUCGGCAAGGGGGUCAUCCCGACUUACCAACCCGAUGCAAACUGCGAAUACCGGAGAAUGUUAUCACGGGAGACACACGGCGGGUGCUAACGUCCGUCGUGAAGAGGGAAACAACCCAGACCGCCAGCUAAGGUCCCAAAGUCAUGGUUAAGUGGGAAACGAUGUGGGAAGGCCCAGACAGCCAGGAUGUUGGCUUAGAAGCAGCCAUCAUUUAAAGAAAGCGUAAUAGCUCACUGGUCGAGUCGGCCUGCGCGGAAGAUGUAACGGGGCUAAACCAUGCACCGAAGCUGCGGCAGCGACGCUUAUGCGUUGUUGGGUAGGGGAGCGUUCUGUAAGCCUGUGAAGGUGUGCUGUGAGGCAUGCUGGAGGUAUCAGAAGUGCGAAUGCUGACAUAAGUAACGAUAAAGCGGGUGAAAAGCCCGCUCGCCGGAAGACCAAGGGUUCCUGUCCAACGUUAAUCGGGGCAGGGUGAGUCGACCCCUAAGGCGAGGCCGAAAGGCGUAGUCGAUGGGAAACAGGUUAAUAUUCCUGUACUUGGUGUUACUGCGAAGGGGGGACGGAGAAGGCUAUGUUGGCCGGGCGACGGUUGUCCCGGUUUAAGCGUGUAGGCUGGUUUUCCAGGCAAAUCCGGAAAAUCAAGGCUGAGGCGUGAUGACGAGGCACUACGGUGCUGAAGCAACAAAUGCCCUGCUUCCAGGAAAAGCCUCUAAGCAUCAGGUAACAUCAAAUCGUACCCCAAACCGACACAGGUGGUCAGGUAGAGAAUACCAAGGCGCUUGAGAGAACUCGGGUGAAGGAACUAGGCAAAAUGGUGCCGUAACUUCGGGAGAAGGCACGCUGAUAUGUAGGUGAAGUCCCUCGCGGAUGGAGCUGAAAUCAGUCGAAGAUACCAGCUGGCUGCAACUGUUUAUUAAAAACACAGCACUGUGCAAACACGAAAGUGGACGUAUACGGUGUGACGCCUGCCCGGUGCCGGAAGGUUAAUUGAUGGGGUUAGCGGUAACGCGAAGCUCUUGAUCGAAGCCCCGGUAAACGGCGGCCGUAACUAUAACGGUCCUAAGGUAGCGAAAUUCCUUGUCGGGUAAGUUCCGACCUGCACGAAUGGCGUAAUGAUGGCCAGGCUGUCUCCACCCGAGACUCAGUGAAAUUGAACUCGCUGUGAAGAUGCAGUGUACCCGCGGCAAGACGGAAAGACCCCGUGAACCUUUACUAUAGCUUGACACUGAACAUUGAGCCUUGAUGUGUAGGAUAGGUGGGAGGCUU